rnacentral:rRNA from 1 species
GACGAACGCUGGCGGCAUGCCUAAUACAUGCAAGUCGAGCGAACAGAUGAAGUGCUUGCUCUUCUGACGUUAGCGGCGAACGGGUGAGUAACACGUAAGGAAUCUACCUAUAAGCGGGGGAUAACAUUCGGAAACGGGUGCUAAUACCGCAUAAUAUCUUCUUCCGCAUGGAAGAAGAUUGAAAGACGGCUCUGCUGUCACUUAUAGAUGACCUUGCGGUGCAUUAGUUAGUUGGUGGGGUAAUGGCCUACCAAGACGAUGGUGCAUAGCCGAACGGAGAGGGUGAUCGGCCACAUUGGGACUGAGACACGGCCCAAACUCCUACGGGAGGCAGCAGUAGGGAAUCUUCCGCAAUGGGCGAAAGCCUGACGGAGCAAUGCCGCGUGAGUGAAGAAGGCCUUCGGGUCGUAAAACUCUGUUAUAAGAGAAGAACAAAUUGUAGAGUAACUGCUACAGUCUUGACGGUAUCUUAUCAGAAAGCCACGGCUAACUACGUGCCAGCAGCCGCCGUAA